GCGGGCGUCGUAUAGUGGUUAUUACGUAGCCUUGCCAAGGCUAAGAUGGCGGUUCGAUUCCGCUCGUCCGCU
rnacentral:tRNA from 1 species